rnacentral:rRNA from 1 species
GGUGACGGCCAGCUUGCUGGUCUGAUCAGUGGCGAACGGGUGAGUAACACGUGAGCAACCUGCCCUCCACUCUGGGAUAAGCCUUGGAAACGAGGUCUAAUACCGGAUACGACGCACCUGGGCAUCUGGUGUGCGUGGAAAGAUUUUUCGGUGGGGGAUGGGCUCGCGGCCUAUCAGCUUGUUGGUGGGGUGAUGGCUCACCAAGGCGACGACGGGUAGCCGGCCUGAGAGGGCGACCGGCCACACUGGGACUGAGACACGGCCCAGACUCCUACGGGAGGCAGCAGUGGGGAAUAUUGCACAAUGGGCGCAAGCCUGAUGCAGCGACGCCGCGUGAGGGAUGACGGCCUUCGGGUUGUAAACCUCUUUCAGCAGGGAAGAAGCGCAAGUGACGGUACCUGCAGAAGAAGCGCCGGCUAACUACGUGCCAGCAGCCGCGGUAAUACGUAGGGCGCAAGCGUUGUCCGGAAUUAUUGGGCGUAAAGAGCUCGUAGGCGGUCUGUCGCGUCUGCUGUGAAAACUCGAGGCUCAACCUCGGGCUUGCAGUGGGUACGGGCAGACUAGAGUGCGGUAGGGGUGACUGGAAUUCCUGGUGUAGCGGUGGAAUGCGCAGAUAUCAGGAGGAACACCGAUGGCGAAGGCAGGUCACUGGGCCGCAACUGACGCUGAGGAGCGAAAGCAUGGGGAGCGAACAGGAUUAGAUACCCUGGUAGUCCAUGCCGUAAACGUUGGGCACUAGGUGUGGGGCU